AGGAGCCGUGUAAAGCGAGAGUUUUACGCACGGUUCUGUGAGGGCGUAAGGGGGAGGAUCCCUUGCGCUACUCGAC
rnacentral:ncRNA from 1 species